GCAGCCGCCGCGGUAAUACAGAGGGUGCGAGCGUUAAUCGGAUUUACUGGGCGUAAAGCGUGCGUAGGCGGCUUCUUAAGUCGGAUGUGAAAUCCCUGAGCUUAACUUAGGAAUUGCAUUCGAUACUGGGAAGCUAGAGUAUGGGAGAGGAUGGUAGAAUUCCAGGUGUAGCGGUGAAAUGCGUAGAGAUCUGGAGGAAUACCGAUGGCGAAGGCAGCCAUCUGGCCUAAUACUGACGCUGAGGUACGAAAGCAUGGGGAGCAAACAGGAUUAGAUACCCGUGUAGUCCCUGUCUCUUAUAC
rnacentral:rRNA from 1 species